UACGGAGGGUGCGAGCGUUAAUCGGAAUUACUGGGCGUAAAGCGCACGUAGGCUGUAUGACAAGUCAAGGGUGAAAUGCCACGGCUCAACCGUGGAACUGCCUUUGAAACUGUCAAACUGGAGUAUGUGAGAGGGCGGCGGAAUUCCUGGUGUAGCGGUGAAAUGCGUAGAUAUUAGGAGGAACACCAGUGGCGAAGGCGGCUUACUGGACAGUAACUGACGUUGAGGCUCGAAAGCGUGGGGAGCAAACAGG
rnacentral:rRNA from 1 species